GACGAACGCUGGCGGCGAGCUUAACACAUGCCAGCCAAACGGGAAUGCCCUUCUUUUUUGGGGUGCUCGAGUGGCUAACGGGUGAGUAACACGUUAGUAACCUGCCCUUGACUUUGAGAUAACUUCAUGAAACGGGGGCUAAUACCGGAUAGGAGCUCCGGCUGCAUGGUUGGGGUUGGCAAGUAUCUGCUGUUGUAGAUGGACUCGCGGCCCAUCAGCUUGUUUGUGGGGUAGUGGUUUGGCAAUGAAUUGACGGGUAUCCGCCGUGAGAGGGUGACGGGCCAAAUUGGGGCUGAGAUCAGGCCAAGACGCAUACGAGAGCCAGAAGUGGUGAAUAUUGAACAAUCAGCGGAGGCGUGAUGCAGCAACGCCGAGCGCGGGAUGACGGCAUUCGGGUUGUAAACCGCUUUCGCCUGUGACGAAGCGGGAGUGACGGUAAUCGGUAAAGAAGCACCGGCUAACUACGU
rnacentral:rRNA from 1 species